ACCUGCCGUCUACUCUUGGACAGCCUUCUGAAAGGAAGAUUAAUACAAGAUGGCAUCAUGAGUCCACAUGUUCACAUGAUUAAAGGUAUUCCGGUAGACGAUGGGGAUGCGUUCCAUUAGAUAGUAGGCGGGGUAACGGCCCACCUAGUCUUCGAUGGAUAGGGGUUCUGAGAGGAAGGUCCCCCACAUUGGAACUGAGACACGGUCCAAACUCCUACGGGAGGCAGCAGUGAGGAAUAUUGGUCAAUGGGCGAGAGCCUGAACCAGCCAAGUAGCGUGAAGGAUGACUGCCCUAUGGGUUGUAAACUUCUUUUAUAAAGGAAUAAAGUCGGGUAUGCAUACCCGUUUGCAUGUACUUUAUGAAUAAGGAUCGGCUAACUCCGUGCCAGCAGCCGCGGUAAUACGGAGGAUCCGAGCGUUAUCCGGAUUUAUUGGGUUUAAAGGGAGCGUAGAUGGAUGUUUAAGUCAGUUGUGAAAGUUUGCGGCUCAACCGUAAAAUUGCAGUUGAUACUGGAUAUCUUGAGUGCAGUUGAGGCAGGCGGAAUUCGUGGUGUAGCGGUGAAAUGCUUAGAUAUCACGAAGAACUCCGAUUGCGAAGGCAGCCUGCUAAGCUGCAACUGACAUUGAGGCUCGAAAGUGUGGGUAUCAAACAGGAUUAGAUACCCUGGUAGUCCACACGGUAAACGAUGAAUACUCGCUGUUUGCGAUAUACAGCAAGCGGCCAAGCGAAAGCGUUAAGUAUUCCACCUGGGGAG
rnacentral:rRNA from 1 species